GCAUUAAUGGGGUAGUGGUAACCUGGGUCGUUGCCAUAUCCUUGGAUACUUGUUCGUUGACUCUGUCGACCCGCCGGGGGUUCGAUUCCCUCUUAAUGCA